rnacentral:ncRNA from 1 species
GGUUAAGUGACUAAGCGUACACGGUGGAUGCCUAGGCAGUCAGAGGCGAUGAAGGGCGUGCUAAUCUGCGAAAAGCGUCGGUAAGGUGAUAUGAACCGUUAUAACCGGCGAUACCCGAAUGGGGAAACCCAGUGUGUUUCGACACAUUAUCAUGUCAUGAAUACAUAGUGGCAUGAGGCGAACCGGGGGAACUGAAACAUCUAAGUACCCCGAGGAAAAGAAAUCAACCGAGAUUCCCCCAG